rnacentral:rRNA from 1 species
UUAGAGUUUGAUCCUGGCUCAGGAUGAACGCUGGCGGCGUGCUUAACACAUGCAAGUCGAACGAAAACAUAUUGAAACCUAGUGAUAUAUGUUUGAGUGGCGGACGGGUGAGUAACGCGUGGGUAACCUACCUUGUACUGGGGGACAACAGUUAGAAAUGACUGCUAAUACCGCAUAAGACCACAGUUUCGCAUGAAACAGGGGUAAAAACUCCGGUGGUACAAGAUGGACCCGCGUCUGAUUAGCUAGUUGGUGGGGUAACGGCCUACCAAGGCGACGAUCAGUAGCCGGCCUGAGAGGGUGAACGGCCACAUUGGGACUGAGACACGGCCCAAACUCCUACGGGAGGCAGCAGUGGGGAAUAUUGCACAAUGGGCGAAAGCCUGAAGCAGCGACGCCGCGUGAGCGAGGAAGGCCUUUGGGUCGUAAAGCUCUGUCGGGAAGGAAGAUAAUGACGGUACUUCCCGAGGAAGCCCCGGCUAACUACGUGCCAGCAGCCGCGGUAAUACGUAGGGGGCGAGCGUUAUCCGGAAUUAUUGGGCGUAAAGAGUGCGUAGGUGGUUUCUUAAGCGUGGGGUGAAGGCCAUUGGCUUAACCAAUGUAAGCCUCGCGAACUGAGGGACUUGAGUGCAGGAGAGGAAAGCGGAAUUCCUAGUGUAGCGGUGAAAUGCGUAGAUAUUAGGAGGAACACCAGUGGCGAAGGCGGCUUUCUGGACUGUAACUGACACUGAGGCACGAAAGCGUGGGGAGCAAACAGGAUUAGAUACCCUGGUAGUCCACGCCGUAAACGAUGAGCAUUAGGUGUCGGGGUCGCAAGGCAUCGGUGCCGCAGUUAACGCAUUAAGUGCUCCGCCUGGGGAGUACGUGCGCAAGCAUCAAACUCAAAGGAAUUGACGGGGACCCGCACAAGCAGCGGAGCAUGUGGUUUAAUUCGAAGCAACGCGAAGAACCUUACCAGGGCUUGACAUCCCUCUGACCGACCCGUAACGGGGUCUUCCCUUCGGGGCAGAGGUGACAGGUGGUGCAUGGUUGUCGUCAGCUCGUGUCGUGAGAUGUUGGGUUAAGUCCCGCAACGAGCGUAACCCUUGUCAUUAGUUGCCAUCAGGUUAAGCUGGGCACUCUAGUGAGACCGCCGGGGAUAACUCGGAGGAAGGUGGGGAUGACGUCAAAUCAUCAUGCCCCUUAUGUUCUGGGCUACACACGUGCUACAAUGGCCGGUACAGAGAGACGCAAAAUCGCGAGGUGGAGCAAAACUCUAAACCGGUCUCAGUUCGGAUUGCAGGCUGAAACUCGCCUGCAUGAAGUCGGAGUUGCUAGUAAUCGCGAAUCAGAAUGUCCCGGUGAAUGCGUUCCCGGGUCUUGCACUCACCGCCCGUCA